AAUAGAUACCCUGGUAGUCCACGCCCUAAACGAUGUCAACUGGUUGUCGGGGAAGUUAUUCCUUGGUAACGAAGCUAACGCGUGAAGUUGACCGCCUGGGGAGUACGGCCGCAAGGUUAAAACUCAAAGGAAUUGACGGGGACCCGCACAAGCGGUGGAUUAUGUGGAUUAAUUCGAUGCAACGCGAAAACCUUACCUACCCUUGACUUGUCAGGAAUCCCGCAGAGAUGCGGGAGUGCCCGAAAGGGAACCUGAACACAGGUGCUGCAUGGCUGUCGUCAGCUCGUGUCGUGAGAUGUUGGGUUAAGUCCCGCAACGAGCGCAACCCUUGUCAUUAGUUGCCACAUUCAGUUGGGCACUCUAGUGAGACUGCCGGUGACAAACCGGAGGAAGGUGGGGAUGACGUCAAGUCCUCAUGGCCCUUAUGGGUAGGGCUUCACACGUAAUACAAUGGCCGGUACAGAGGGCUGCCAACCCGCAAGGGGGAGCUAAUCCCAGAAAGCCGGUCGUAGUCCGGAUUGUUCUCUGCAACUCGAGAGCAUG
rnacentral:rRNA from 1 species